ACGCACGCUGGCGGCGUGCUUAACACAUGCCAGUCGAACGGUGAAGCGCCUUCCUUUUUGGUGGGUGUGGAUGAGUGGCGAACGGGUGAGUAACACGUGAGUAACCUGCCCCCUUCUUCUGGAUAACCGCAUGAAAGUGUGGCUAAUACGGGAUAUUCUGGGUCUGUCGCAUGAUGGGUCUGGGAAAGAUAUUGUUUCGGUGGGGGAUGGGCUCGCGGCCUAUCAGCUUGUUGGUGGGGUGAUGGCCUACCAAGGCGGUGACGGGUAGCCGGCCUGAGAGGGUGGACGGUCACACUGGGACUGAGACACGGCCCAGACUCCUACGGGAGGCAGCAGUGGGGAAUAUUGCACAAUGGGCGCAAGCCUGAUGCAGCGACGCCGCGUGAGGGAUGGAGGCCUUCGGGUUGUGAACCUCUUUCGCCAGUGAAGCAGGCCUGCCUCGUUUGUGGGUGGGUUGACGGUAGCUGGAUAAGAAGCGCCGGCUAACUACGUG
rnacentral:rRNA from 1 species